GACGGGGGCCCGCGACAAGCGGUGGAGCAUUGUGGUUUAAUUCGAAGCAACGCGAAGAACCUUACCAGGUCUUGACAUCCGAUGCUAUUCUAGAGAUAGAAAGUUACUUCGGUACAUCGGUGACAGGUGGUGCAUGGUUGUCGUCAGCUCGUGUCGUGAGAUGUUGGGUUAAGUCCCGCAACGAGCGCAACCCUUGCCAUUAGUUGCUACGAAAGGGCACUCUAAUGGGACUGCCGGUGACAAACCGGAGGAAGGUGGGGAUGACGUCAAGUCCUCAUGGCCCUUAUGACCUGGGCUACACACGUGCUACAAUGGUUGGUACAACGAGUUGCGAGUCGGUGACGGCGAGCUAAUCUCUUAAAGCCAAUCUCAGUUCGGAUUGUAGGUUGCAACUCGCCUACAUGAAGUCGGAAUCGCUAGUAAUCGCGGAUCAGCACGCCGCGGUGAAUACGUUCCCGGGCCUU
rnacentral:rRNA from 1 species